rnacentral:rRNA from 1 species
AUGGAUCGGAGCGGACGGAGCGACGACGGCAACAACGACGGCAAGUCCACCGGCCACCCAGACCUCGCCGCCUCGCUGGGCGCGAUGGGCCUCGGCAACUCCUCGCCGCAGCCGCGGGAGCAGCAGGAGCAGGCGCUGCAGCGGCAGCAGAGAGCGGCGUGGUUGCGGCAGAGGACCGCGCCGCCGGUGAUGCCGGAGCAGCAGUUCAGGACGAGCCUGUUGAUGGCGUCAGGGCUUGAGGUUGCGCGGCAGUCCUGGUCGCAGCAGUCACAGCAGCACCAGGCCUACCGGUGGGAGGAGAUGGGCUCAUCGAGCGGCGGCGGCCCCUACGUCUCGCCGAUGGGCGCCGCCGCCGCAGCGGCCAAUAACCCUAGCGCGUGGUACGACAGGGCCGCCGCAGCGGCCAACAACCCUAGCGCGUGGUACAACUCCGCAGGCGGCAACUUCUUCAGUAGGCAGGGCCAGAGCGGUAGCCACCAGCAGCAGCAGUACACUCUGAGCGCCAGCGCCAGCCAGUACCAACCAGUAACCUCGCCGGUGGCGGCGAGCGCCAACGCCAACGCCAGCCUGCAGUACCUGUACCAGCAGCAGUAUGCCAUGUUUAACCAAUCCGGCGCCGGCGCCUACGCCUGGUCCGCGCCCGAUGAUGACAAGCGCAUGGAUCUGAGGCUGAGAGCCAUCAGAGCCGCCCAGGCUCAGGCGGGUCAUGUGCCGUACAGGGCGGCGCCGGCGGCCCAGCCACGGCGUGCCCGGACGCUGGAGGAAACCCGGUCGCGGCUGCUCAAGGCCCCGAUUGACGUGCACGUGGUGACGUUCCCCCAGUCCCCCGCGCACGUGGUGACGCUGCUCGAGGAGGGCGUCGACAAGAUCCGGCUGAACGUGCUCGCCGGGGUGACGCACCGCAUGCACGACUUCAUGGACAGCAGGGACGGGCACGCGGUGUUUGUGGCGCUGCUGCGCGCCUGCGCGUCGCGGGCCGGCGAGGUCAAGGACAUCGUGGAGGCCGCCUUCUACUGCAGGCACAACCUGCUGCCGCUGAUGACGCACGACCACGGGGAGGAUUGCCUGGCGGAGCUCAUGGCGGCGGCGGCGCCGUACCCUAACCUGUGCGAGAUGCUGGUGAACCGCUUCCUGUUUGAAAACGUGCUGCUGGACCUCAAAGGGGACCAGGUGCUUCACCACUGCUUUGCCACCAUGAGAUACGAGGACACCAAGUUUCUGGUGGUCGCCGUCCUCGAUGGCAACACGCUUGACUCGAUGGCCUACUCGAAGUCGCCGGCCGGGUCCAAGUGCCUGGUGGAGUGCUUCAACAAUGCCAGAGGCGACGAGUUCGGCAAACUCCGGGCCGCCCUGCUCGACAAGGCCAUCGACCUGGCCAGGGGCGAGUACAGCAACUACUUCGUGCAGCACGCCCUGGAGCACGGCGACGCGCAGACGCGGCAGCAGCUGGUGCAGCGGCUGAUGGGGCAGGCGGUGGGCCUGUCGCUGCACCGCUCCGGCAGCUACGUCGUGGAGGCGUGCUUCAACAAGGCGGGGCUGCUCAACCUCGUGGUCGCCCAGUUCAUGCACAUGGACGACGCCCAGCUCGUGGAGCUCGUGCAGGGCCGCUCCUCCAACUACGUCGUCCACAGGAUGCUCGAGGCCGCCAAAGACAGGUACCCCAAGGAGACGCUGGGGCUGGCGCGGCGGAUCUACAGGCUGCACGGGAACGGCGUCUGGCAGGUGUACGCCGAGAAGGUGAUGAGGGUCGUCGGCAAGAUCCUGGCUCGCCACUCUCAUCACGGCCCCUCGUAUCGCUGA